rnacentral:tRNA from 1 species
GAUGUGGUGUAAUGGCAGCACGUAUCGUUGUGGCUUGGCCUCCUGGCCUCACAACCUCCGAUACAAUCGCGGUUCGAUUCCGCGCAUCGCCA